AGACCGCCAAAAUUGGAGUGUUCCCCACUCUUUUGAUGGUAUCAAGACUGUUGUUGUGAGUGCCGCGUUUAUAUUGAGGCAGGUCAGUGCCAAAAAAAACUGGGUGGAAGCCGAAAUCGAAAGUUGGCGGCAGUUGGCAUAGGUCCGGGACUGGGCUGUUUUGCAGUGAAGAAGAAGUGCCAAGGGAGCAAAUUGGCAUCACAAAAGCAAAUUGCGUGGAGAGCGUCCGCUUCCAAAAACAAUAACCGGCUUUCAUGGGAAUUCGCGAAUCUCAUCAGACAUUGACGCGCAAAGAGAAACCAUAUGGUGGGCACAAUGUGGUACCCUCCUGGCACUGCACCCCACCAUGCCUUAUUUCAUCUUUUCGCCAUUCGUCUUGCACACCACGACCGCCCGGGCCCCCGAACCCCCGUUCCAGUUGCUGGAGGCAUCGGCCGAAAAAAGAAGCGGCCCAACAAUGCGUUGCGCGUGUGCAAAAAAGUGUGUGAGUGUUUAAAAUUUUCUGUGGCAACGGCGGUGUGUUGGUGCACGGCGUGGUUUUUCGGUAUGUUGGUAAAUUGGCAAAGUGGCGAGUGACUUUUGCUUUGAGCCGCGCGCCUCAUUUCAUACACACAAGAAUCACUUUUAUUGGCUUUGCACAGCGUUGCAAACUUGAGCAGCAAACACAGUCGAAGUUGGAAGAAGGUCACUGACCGCCCCAUGAGUUCGCCAAAUUCUCUGUUCAUUUUUGCCAGGCGGCGAGGUCACUUUGCCGCAUUUUUGCUAUAUGGCUAGUUUAUCGGUCCGGACUUGGGAGCCGCGAAGAAACAUUGCGCCGGUCAGUGUCAGAGCGAUGAGCGCGAAAUGCGAAUUGCGCCAAAUUGGAAGAUUAGCGUGCUUGUUGCACAAAAAUUGAUGCCACAGUUUCUUCCCGAUUCGCUGAACAUGAAAUAUUGUACCACACAUAUAUACUGUAAAUAUGUAUGUACAUAUAUGCAAUGUAGGGUCUUCGGGGGGAACGUAAGGCAUGCAGGAGAAAAAAAUAUUAUGAGACAAGAUGAUGAAGAAAAGUCCAAGCCGAAGAGCUGGUGGCUCCAGUCGGUUCUUGUGCAAAAAAAAAUUCUUAUAUUAUGCUGUGAGCACAAAUAUUUUUGAGAGCGCCCAACCAAACCGACUAUCUUGUUGGGCAGGCUCCAUCGCCACCAGCCUGAUGAGAAUCAGCGAACCAACAACAUGCCAAACCGAACCAACCGGCCAAAUGGUCGUUGGCCGCACUCAAGGUCGGCCCCUGCAGUGGAUGAAAUUUUAAAAAUAGAUUUUCGAGCGCUUAAAAUUGUUUUUGAAGUCGCACACACAAUGCAAGAGAGCCCACGAAAUGUUGGAGCGAAAGACUCGACGGAAGAUUGCUGCCAAUGCGAAAAUGCUGUUCAGCACCGCGGUUUAUGCCUCCCUCUUGUCCCCCAUUUACCCCGCACUUUUGGGCCCUUUGGCGUCACACCAUUCGCUGGUUGUGAUGAGAACACAAACACACCGAACCCACCAGAGUGUGCCCAAACAGCUACAGCAUUGACUUUGAGAAUGGGCUACACUAGGGGGGUCCCGGGCGAAAGGUGGGGAGGAUAUCUAAGAAUUGAUGAUGAUUUGACAACAAUUUAUGCAAUUGUAGAAUUCGUAGAGUGAAUGUUUGUAAAGAAAUUUAUAAGCAAGGGGAUGGCAAAUGCAAGAUAUCGAGUUCUCGCGGCGUGCAGAUGGAACAACUUCCACCGUAACUGCUGCAGAUGAACUUGAAACGUGAUUAGAUAAUAGGGGGAAAGCCAUGUAUGCUAUUGGGUUUGCUUUGCCAACUUCCUAAAAAGGAACAAAAAAUGGCAAAGAAAAAUCAUUGGAUGGAGUUAAAUGCUCUUAUUUGGGAUGUUACUGCACCUUUAAUGGAUUACCAACAAUUAGUGAUCAGCAUGCACAAUUAAUCCAGUUGAGGUGUAACGGGACUAUUUAACAAAAUGACUCCAAUUAGACAGGUAAGUUUUUAUUAUUAGUAUAUAGCGCGAUGCAAUGAAAAAUGUGCACUCACCUUUACACAUAAAAAUAAUUACUCGUGUCUAUCUUUUGAGCAUACUAUACAUAUAUAGGGGAGUGAAUUGCUUUGGAUGCUAUACGGAUGCUACAUACAUUACAUUUUUAUUUAGACAAUGUAAUAAUGCAUCUCAUGCACCACGUUUAGAUUUGAGACGAAUUCCUGAAUUUUCUGCCAACAAAGAGCAAUUGGAGGCAAAAAGUGCACAAGUCACUAACUUUUAUGGCCAACAUAGCGGCCAUACCAUGUUGGAUGGAUCUCGCCACGGAAACAGCACUAUCAAUGUUGCUCUCCACCUGGACGGAUGGACGGAUGAACGGAUGGAGGUAUAGGUAUGAAAUACGAAAAAAAAAAAUAUCACGAGAUCUAGGAGAGAAUUUGCCAAUGUUCAUUGAACUCUGCGCACACAUGAGGUGUGAAAUUUUGGCAAGGUGUGUACCAUACCACCUAUGUAACCUACGUGUCUCUCUGCAUGGCAAAUGGCAUGUUUUUGGUGUUCUUUUAUCCCCACAGGCUAUAUUGACACCGCCUGAAUGAUGAUUUAUGCAGCUUGGUCAGCCUCAUCUGUUUUAAGCUACAUGUGAAAAUAUUCAUUACACAUCUAUUGAAGCACAUCUAAGCAU